UUGGAGAAGCCUUCAAAUCAACGAAAUUGAGCUCAAUCUGAAACAAAAAGAAAAGGAAAAUCAGGAAAGAAGAUAAAAAUUUAACAAAUAAGUUUUUCUCAGAAAUCGUGUACCUAUCAGAAGGAUGUUGAGAGAAGAGAUAGAGGAUGAGUGACAUGCAUACACUCACUUCAUCUUCUUCUUCAUAGUUGUUAGAGAGAGAAAGAGAGGCUUGGUCCUUCAUCAUUAUCUUCUAAGAGACUAAGACUCAGCUGCUGUGAGGACCGCUGCAUCAUCCCUGCUGCAGCUAUGAUGACUCCAUGUGUGUGGAGAGAGACAGUGAUUGAGAAAGAGCAAGCGGAGGAGAGUGUUUGGUGGCUGCUAUGCUGAAAGGCGGAGCUUGAAUCGCAAAGAGAGGGAUUAGGGUUAGGAUUCUGUCGCUGCAGCUUAGCAUAGUCGAAGGUAUUUUGGGGAAAGAAUCAGAGAGGGGGAAAAGGCCCCGUGGGAAGGAUUUCGUAAAACAAAAUAUCUUUACUGCAGGGGUCCGUAACCCCUGAAAAUUGCAUCAAAUUUGCUGAUCUUAGGCCAACUGCCCCAAUUCGUGCAAUUUGCAGAUGUUCUAUUUAGUCUCCGAAAUUUAACAGAUCUUUUGUAGUAUAUGCACGCAUCAGACUUCAUCGGUCAUAAUCUGUUCUAUCACCUCAACCUGGGAGA
rnacentral:lncRNA from 1 species